rnacentral:rRNA from 1 species
AUUGAACGCUGGCGGCAGGCCUAACACAUGCAAGUCGAGCGAGCGGCUGACGGGUGAGUAAUGUCUGGGAAACUGCCUGAUGGAGGGGGAUAACUACUGGAAACGGUAGCUAAUCCCGCAUACCAUCAGAUGUGCCCAGAUGGGAUUAGCUAGUCGGUGGGGUAACGGCUCACCUAGGCGACGAUCCCUAGCUGGUCUGAGAGGAUGACCAGCAACACUGGAACGGAGACACGGUCCAGACUCCUACGGGAGGCAGCAGAGGGGAAUAUUGCACAAAGGGCGCAAGCCUGAUGCAGCCAUGCCGCGGGGGUGAAGAAGGCCUUCGGGUUGUAAAGCACUUUCAGCGGGGAGGCGUUACCCGCAGAAGAAGCACCGGCUAACUCCGUGCCAGCAGCCGCGGUAAUUC